rnacentral:rRNA from 1 species
UUGGAGGGCAAGUCUGGUGCCAGCAGCCGCGGUAAUUCCAGCUCCAAUAGCGUAUAUUAAAGUUGUUGCAGUUAAAAAGCUCGUAGUUGAAUUUCGGGAUCAAUGUUUCGGUCAUGCCGUUGGUAUGUACUGAUAUUAUUGGUUUCUCACCUUCUAAAGAACCGUAAUGCCAUUAAUUUGGUGUCACGGGGAAUUAGGACUGUUACCUUGAAAAAAUUAGAGUGUUUAAAGCAGGCUCACGCUUGAAUACAUUAGCAUGGAGUAAUGAAAUAGGACAUCCGAUUCUAUUUUGUUGGUUUCUAGGAUCGAUGUAAUGAUUAAUAGGGAUAGUUGGGGGCAUUAGUAUUCAAUUGUCAGAGGUGAAAUUCUUGGAUUUAUUGAAGACUAACUACUGCGAAAGCAUUUGCCAAGGAUGUUUUCAUUAAUCAAGAACGAAAGUUAGGGGAUCGAAGACGAUCAGAUACCGUCGUAGUCUUAACCAUAAACUAUGCCGACUAGGGAUCGGAUGAUGUUAAUUUUUUAAUGACUCAUUCGGCGCCUUACGGGAAAC